rnacentral:rRNA from 1 species
UACGAAGGUGGCAAGCGUUGUUCGGAUUUACUGGGCGUAAAGGGAGCGUAGGUGGUUAGGUAAGCCCUCCGGGAAAUCUUCAGGCUUAACCUGAAAAGGUCGGGGGGGACUGCCUGGCUAGAGGACGGUAGAGGCAAUCGGAAUUCCAGGUGUAGCGGUGAAAUGCGUAGAUAUCUGGAAGAACACCGGUGGCGCAAGCGGAUUGCUGGGCCAUAACUGACACUGAGGAACGAAAGCUAGGGGAGCGAAUGGG